CAGACUAUACUAAAAGUUGUCUUAAAGACAUCUUUUUGUAAAGUCCGAAAAGACAUCUUUCGAAAGACGUCUUUCGGAUGUCGUUUAGACAUGCGUGUUGACUGGGGGUUUAGUUGCUGGUAUAUUCUUUUAUUAAAGGUUUAUUGUUGCAUGCUACAUCCUUCAAAUGUUAAUGAUAGAUAUAUAGAUCUUUCUGAUUGACAGUAUCAUUUAUAUAUUCUACAGUUAUAUAUUGAUAUACAUUUGAAUUAAAAAUUCACAAUAUGAAUAUGUAUAUAAUUGAUAUUAAAAUAUCAUAAAUUAGGAAUUAAUAAAAGGUUUAGUUACUGAUAUAUUCUUUUAUUAAAUGUUUAUUGUUGCAUGCUACAUUCUUUGAAUGUUAAUGAUAGAUAUUGCAUGAAUUUAUUAAAAUAUUAGAAAAAAAACUUGCAUUAAUAAAUAUUACAAUCUCAACUUGGACGUUACAUUAUGGUAAACAUAGAUUUACACGUAGCAAUAAAAUUUUUU